GAUGAACGCUGGCGGCGUGCCUAAUACAUGCAAGUCGAGCGAACGGACGAGAAGCUUGCUUCUCUGAUGUUAGCGGCGGACGGGUGAGUAACACGUGGAUAACCUACCUAUAAGACUGGGAUAACUUCGGGAAACCGGAGCUAAUACCGGAUAAUAUUUUGAACCGCAUGGUUCAAAAGUGAAAGACGGUCUUGCUGUCACUUAUAGAUGGAUCCGCGCUGCAUUAGCUAGUUGGUAAGGUAACGGCUUACCAAGGCAACGAUGCAUAGCCGACCUGAGAGGGUGAUCGGCCACACUGGAACUGAGACACGGUCCAGACUCCUACGGGAGGCAGCAGUAGGAAAUCUUCCGCAAUGGGCGAAAGCCUGACGGAGCAACGCCGCGUGAGUGAUGAAGGUCUUCGGAUCGUAAAACUCUGUUAUUAGGGAAGAACAUAUGUGUAAGUAACUGUGCACAUCUUGACGGUACCUAAUCAGAAAGCCACGGCUAACUACGUGCCAGCAGCCGCGGUAAUACGUAGGUGGCAAGCGUUAUCCGGAAUUAUUGGGCGUAAAGCGCGCGUAGGCGGUUUUUUAAGUCUGAUGUGAAAGCCCACGGCUCAACCGUGGAGGGUCAUUGGAAACUGGAAAACUUGAGUGCAGAAGAGGAAAGUGGAAUUCCAUGUGUAGCGGUGAAAUGCGCAGAGAUAUGGAGGAACACCAGUGGCGAAGGCGACUUUCUGGUCUGUAACUGACGCUGAUGUGCGAAAGCGUGGGGAUCAAACAGGAUUAGAUACCCUGGUAGUCCACGCCGUAAACGAUGAGUGCUAAGUGUUAGGGGGUUUCCGCCCCUUAGUGCUGCAGCUAACGCAUUAAGCACUCCGCCUGGGGAGUACGACCGCAAGGUUGAAACUCAAAGGAAUUGACGGGGACCCGCACAAGCGGUGGAGCAUGUGGUUUAAUUCGAAGCAACGCGAAGAACCUUACCAAAUCUUGACAUCCUUUGACAACUCUAGAGAUAGAGCUUUCCCCUUCGGGGGACAAAGUGACAGGUGGUGCAUGGUUGUCGUCAGCUCGUGUCGUGAGAUGUUGGGUUAAGUCCCGCAACGAGCGCAACCCUUAAGCUUAGUUGCCAUCAUUAAGUUGGGCACUCUAAGUUGACUGCCGGUGACAAACCGGAGGAAGGUGGGGAUGACGUCAAAUCAUCAUGCCCCUUAUGAUUUGGGCUACACACGUGCUACAAUGGACAAUACAAAGGGCAGCGAAACCGUGAGGUCAAGCAAAUCCCAUAAAGUUGUUCUCAGUUCGGAUUGUAGUCUGCAACUCGACUACAUGAAGCUGGAAUCGCUAGUAAUCGUAGAUCAGCAUGCUACGGUGAAUACGUUCCCGGGUCU
rnacentral:rRNA from 1 species